rnacentral:rRNA from 1 species
AGAGUUUGAUCCUGGCUCAGAACGAACGCUGGCGGCAGGCCUAACACAUGCAAGUCGAGCGCGCCUUCGGGCGAGCGGCGGACGGGUUAGUAACGCGUGGGAACGUGCCCAGAUCUACGGAAUAGCCACUGGAAACGGUGAGUAAUACCGUAUACGCCCUUCGGGGGAAAGAUUUAUCGGAUUUGGAUCGGCCCGCGUUAGAUUAGGUAGUUGGUGGGGUAACGGCCUACCAAGCCUACGAUCUAUAGCUGGUUUUAGAGGAUGAUCAGCAACACUGGGACUGAGACACGGCCCAGACUCCUACGGGAGGCAGCAGUGGGGAAUCUUGGACAAUGGGGGCAACCCUGAUCCAGCCAUGCCGCGUGAGUGAAGAAGGCCUUAGGGUCGUAAAACUCUUUCGCCUGUGAUGAUAAUGACAGUAGCAGGUAAAGAAACCCCGGCUAACUCCGUGCCAGCAGCCGCGGUAAUACGGAGGGGGUUAGCGUUGUUCGGAAUUACUGGGCGUAAAGCGCACGUAGGCGGAUUAGAAAGUUAGAGGUGAAAUCCCGGGGCUCAACCCCGGAACUGCCUUUAAAACUACUAGUCUAGAGUUCGAGAGAGGUGAGUGGAAUUCCGAGUGUAGAGGUGAAAUUCGUAGAUAUUCGGAGGAACACCAGUGGCGAAGGCGGCUCACUGGCUCGAUACUGACGCUGAGGUGCGAAAGUGUGGGGAGCAAACAGGAUUAGAUACCCUGGUAGUCCACACCGUAAACGAUGAAUGCCAGUCGUCGGGUAGUAUACUAUUCGGUGACACACCUAACGGAUUAAGCAUUCCGCCUGGGGAGUACGGUCGCAAGAUUAAAACUCAAAGGAAUUGACGG